UAUGACCAGCUAAUUGAUGGUAUUUAAGAUGUUUAAGAUGGACUUGAAGAAGGCAAGAGAAUUCUACUUCCUCUCUUUUUCAGUGUGGGGAAAAGAACUAUACUAACUCUGCACUAACAAAGUACUUUCCCCCUACUUCCGAGGGCUAAAACUACCACCAGUACACUCAUUACAUAAGGACAACUUAUGUGAAGAGCACAAUUCACUCAUCAUUUUUCUCACAAGACCAGACACAGAACUGGAAAUACAUCUUGUAUCUUUACAAUAACACAUCAAGCAUGAAAAGAUAUAAAGCCAGCCCUCAAAUACCUCCAAAAUUGAAGCUGCAGAGAUAAUGUUCCAGCCCUAAAUACGCAUUAAAUCUAUCCAAAGCUGUUCUGAGUUACACCAGCUGCAAUAUGAGAGUGCUGCAGGAUGCACUCUGUUGCCUGGUCUGCCUGGCAGAAGAACAAGUGGCAGCUAGGCAAAUGGGUAACACAAGAGCUAAGAAUUAACUCUAAUUAAAUAUACCUCCGGUAUAGUAAUGACCUUGGGGUGAUGUUAAACCAGCUAUAAUUUUAUACUGUCUGAAGGGUGCAAACUUGCUUUGAAGUACUACAGCAUCAUGACUAUAUGGAGGGAUUUCCUAAUCUCUUUUACACCCUUGACUGAGGAAAGAACCAUGCAGUGUAGGAGUAUCUACUUUCCAAAGGAGGCAUAGUAAAGAAUGUUUGGUAAACUAGCCUCCCCUCCCUGCAGAGGAAGACACUGUUAGAAAGGGAGAAAAUUAAGAUGCCCAUGAAGGAGAUGAAUGUAUAAGCAAGAGUUUGAGAAGAAUCUCUGGCUUAAAAACUUUUCUUCUGAUUUCAGGUUCUGGAAAAAGUAUUUCACAUUAUUUGACAAGAUACCUCUAAAAAUUUUACUCCGUUUGACUGAAGCUGAUGGAACACACACCUAGCAACCUCCAGGGCAGUACUGAAAACACAUUCCUUUUGUCUUUUCUUGAUCAUUUGACUGACUUUUCAAAUACAUUUACAUUACAUACUGUACAGGUUUUAUAGCAUGU
rnacentral:lncRNA from 1 species